UACGAAGGGGGCUAGCGUUGCUCGGAAUUACUGGGCGUAAAGGGAGCGUAGGCGGACAUUUAAGUCAGGGGUGAAAUCCCAGAGCUCAACUCUGGAACUGCCUUUGAUACUGGGUGUCUUGAGUAUGAUAGAGGUAUGUGGAACUCCGAGUGUAGAGGUGAAAUUCGUAGAUAUUCGGAAGAACACCAGUGGCGAAGGCGACAUACUGGAUCAUUACUGACGCUGAGGCUCGAAAGCGUGGGGAGCAAACAGG
rnacentral:rRNA from 1 species